GCAAGUGUGACAUCAGCGGUCAUGGAGAGUCUCCAUCCAGCUGGAUCACUGUCACAGACAAACACACCACCACACCUCCACCUACAUCCACACCUCCACCUGCAUCCACCUCUCCUCCUGAUUUCUCCUGUGUCCCUCUAUCACUCUUUUCUCUUGUCCUCACUGUGUCAGUUAUUAGUUCAGUCUGUGUUCUGGUUCUUGUGGUGUUACUGGUUCUGCUGGUGAGACGACAAGUUCAAAGGAAAUCUGAAUGGAGCAGUGGGACAGCUGACGUCGCUCUUCUGAUCAAUUAUUGAUUCAGGAAACAGCAAAGCAUGAAACUGAGUUCAUGUCUGGAAGAUGUCAGAUACAUAAACUUCUCUUUAACAUAAAGAUUUGAUUUUAUUAUUCUUCAGACUUUAACUGUGAUGCUCUGAUACUUUCACUAACAUUCUCCUGUUGUCUUCAUUUACUUUACAUAAAUAUAACAGAUUUGUUUGCAGAGCUGUUUAUUCUUCUUAUGCUGAACUGUGUGUGUUUGUGUUCAGACUUUAAACCAGAGCCAGACGUCGUCUACUCCUCACUGAAGUAGUCCACCAGUCCAACCACUGACGUCCAGCUGCUGGUCUCUAACUGGUCCACACAGCCACACAAUGUUGAUUUGCAUAUAUUCUGUAGUGUCUUCUCAUUAUAAUAUACACUCUCAGUGUUUGUAUGAGUGUAUAUAGUAUAACUAAAACAUGAAUGUCAUCUGCACAGCGUUGUCCUGCCCUCUCUGC